AUACAGAGGGUGCAAGCGUUAAUCGGAACUACUGGGCGUAAAGCGCGCGUAGGUGGUUUGUUAAGUUGGAUGUGAAAGCCCCGGGCUCAACCUGGGAACUGCAUCCAAAACUGGCAAGCUAGAGUACGGUAGAGGGUGGUGGAAUUUCCUGUGUAGCGGUGAAAUGCGUAGAUAUAGGAAGGAACACCAGUGGCGAAGGCGACCACCUGGACUGAUACUGACACUGAGGUGCGAAAGCGUGGGGAGCAAACAGGAUUAGAUACCCUAGUAGUCC
rnacentral:rRNA from 1 species